rnacentral:misc_RNA from 1 species
GUAUUCCACUCAUUCUCUUGAUUUGAUUUGGUGGGGGCCUAGUGGGUUGUGGGAGGUUAUGGGCUAUGAGGUUGAUAUUGUCCAUGGAAUAAGCAAUUGUAGUUUUAACUUUUAAUAUAAUAUUUGAAUACUGUUUGGCCUUUAUUUGCAAUGUAGUACAUGUUAUCAAAAUUCCUAAAUAGGUAUAGUAGUUAGAAUAUGGGUGAACUAAAAUUUUGUUAACAAAUGAUUUAUGCAUGCAAUGAAAUUCAGUGAAAUAAAGACAUUAAAGUGUUUUUGAAUUUUUUUUUUUGGUGGGAAAGAGAAGAUAAACAUGCCUUUAUCUUUCCAAAUAUUGGACAUUUUCU